CCAUUUCUCCUCCUGUCCCAACAACCUCCCAGGGAGUAGGCCAACCUUGAAGAGAGCCGUGAAGCCACCUGGCCGAUCGGCCGGCUGGCCAGGCCUAAACUAAAAGCCAUAUAGCAGACAGCAGUGUGAAUCCAGGAGACAAACCAAGCCAUGUCCUUGGGGAAGAUCCUUAAAAAUUAUCUUUAAUCUUUAAUGCCAAGUAUGAACAAAUGAUAAAGUGACAAAAGCGAAUAGAAUUGCAUAGAUGGAAACUAUGCGCGUAAAGUCUCAACUCUGAACAUUCAUUGUCCUCUAGCUGACAAGUUAAACCAUUUCAGGGGGUUGGAAGUGGGGUGGGGAAGGGGAUGGUCACGUGGAAAUAAGGUAUAGCCUUAACUCCAAGUGUAAGCAACUUGCAAACUCAGGAGAUAAAAAGAGCUUUGUCAGCUUAAAUGGUUUGUUUUCCUGAUGGUGCACUUAAAUCACUACUCAGUGUGGGUCCAGCACUGGCAUCGCUUGGUCUUCAAGAAGAGAGAAAAAGACCCCAGACUUUGGAGGGGCUUGAAGUUCCGAGACAGGAGGAUUGUCUGUGGCUCACAGCCAAGAUGGAGACCGGAGGCCAGGGAGCUACUCUGUGCUCCCUGUGUGCGUCCUCACCAGUGAUUUACUUGGGAGACAGUAAAGCUGGAGGAAGGGGAAGGAUCGUCAACAAAAAACAGGGAAGGGAAGCAAGCACCUCCUUUCUGCUCCACGAGCUGGAGCCUCCAGUAAAGAGAGCUCAUUGCGACCAGAGCCGAUUCCUGAUUUUGACUGGAGCCGAUGCCUGAUUUCGACCGGGAGGAUGGGGGAGGGGGCACCCAUAACUGCAGGCCGGGUGCAAAGAAAAGCUAUUGAGUUCAGGCGGUCAUUUCACUUGUGCUUCAGCUUCACACUAAGAGAGACCCAGCUGCCUGUCCAAUCUCUGUUGGCUAAAAUGAUUGUUCUCCAAGCUGGAGGGGAGUGGGGAGGGGGGGCAGGGAGAGAAGGGGCUCGUGCCCUCUGCCCUCUCCCCGACACUGGUUGAUUGGCCCAACUGGUUCUGGGAAACUCUUCUUUUUCUAGAAAUAAAAAUACUUAA